AGAGUUUGAUCCUGGCUCAGAAUGAACGUUGGCGGCGUGGAUUAGGCAUGCAAGUCGCGCGACAAGCUGUUCUGCUUGCAGAACAGUGGAGGAGCGGCGCAAGGGAGAGUAACGCGUGGAUCACCAACCCUCAGGACCGGGAUAGCGGCGGGAAACUGCCGGUAAUACCGGAUAAUAUCUCCGGAUCAAAUGGUGUGAUUCCGCCUGAGGACGGGUCCGCGUCCUAUUAGCUUGUUGGUGGGGUAAUGGCCUACCAAGGCUUCGAUGGGUACCGGGUGUGAGAGCAUGGCCCGGCUCACUGGGACUGAGACACUGCCCAGACACCUACGGGUGGCUGCAGUCGAGAAUAUUCGGCAAUGGACGCAAGUCUGACCGAGCGACGCCGCGUGCGGGAUGAAGGUCUUCGGAUUGUAAACCGCUGUCAGUUGGGAGGAAAUUCUAGGGAGUCAUCUCUCUAGUUUGACCCAUCUUCAGAGGAAGGACGGGCUAAGUUCGUGCCAGCAGCCGCGGUAAGACGAACCGUCCAAACGUUAUUCGGAAUCACUGGGCUUAAAGGGUGCGUAGGCGGCGCGGUAAGUUGGGUGUGAAAUCCCUCGGCUCAACCGAGGAAUUGCGCCCAAAACUACCGUGCUCGAGGAAGGCAGAGGUAAGCGGAACUGAUGGUGGAGCGGUGAAAUGCGUUGAUAUCAUCAGGAACAC
rnacentral:rRNA from 1 species